AGAGUUUGAUCCUGGCUCAGGAUGAACGCUGGCGGCGUGCCUAAUACAUGCAAGUCGAGCGAACGGACGAGAAGCUUGCUUCUCUGAUGUUAGCGGCGGACGGGUGAUUAACACGUGGAUAACCUACCUAUAAGACUGGGAUAACUUCGGGAAACCGGAGCUAAUACCGGAUAAUAUUUUGAACCGCAUGGUUCAAAAGUGAAAGACGGUCUUGCUGUCACUUAUAGAUGGAUCCGCGCUGCAUUAGCUAGUUGGUAAGGUAACGGCUUACCAAGGCAACGAUGCAUAGCCGACCUGAGAGGGUGAUCGGCCACACUGGAACUGAGACACGGUCCAGACUCCUACGGGAGGCAGCAGUAGGGAAUCUUCCGCAAUGGGCGAAAGCCUGACGGAGCAACGCCGCGUGAGUGAUGAAGGUCUUCGGAUCGUAAAACUCUGUUAUUAGGGAAGAACAUAUGUGUAAGUAACUGUGCACAUCUUGACGGUACCUAAUCAGAAAGCCACGGCUAACUACGUGCCAGCAGCCGCGGUAAUACGUAGGUGGCAAGCGUUAUCCGGAAUUAUUGGGCGUAAAGCGCGCGUAGGCGGUUUUUUAAGUCUGAUGUGAAAGCCCACGGCUCAACCGUGGAGGGUCAUUGGAAACUGGAAAACUUGAGUGCAGAAGAGGAAAGUGGAAUUCCAUGUGUAGCGGUGAAAUGCGCAGAGAUAUGGAGGAACACCAGUGGCGAAGGCGACUUUCUGGUCUGUAACUGACGCUGAUGUGCGAAAGCGUGGGGAUCAAACAGGAUUAGAUACCCUGGUAGUCCACGCCGUAAACGAUGAGUGCUAAGUGUUAGGGGGUUUCCGCCCCUUAGUGCUGCAGCUAACGCAUUAAGCACUCCGCCUGGGGAGUACGACCGCAAGGUUGAAACUCAAAGGAAUUGACGGGGACCCGCACAAGCGGUGGAGCAUGUGGUUUAAUUCGAAGCAACGCGAAGAACCUUACCAAAUCUUGACAUCCUUUGACAACUCUAGAGAUAGAGC
rnacentral:rRNA from 3 species